UAAGAGAUCCUGAAGUCAUGACUUCUUACAGGGAGCUCUCAAAAAAGGCGCAAAAGGCCAACAAUAUAUGGUGGCGUUUAAGCGGUUUGCUUGGGGAUCAGAAUCGCAUGUUCAUGUAUAUUCUGUUGCAAGCUAUAUUUACCGUGGCAACUAUGGGGCUGACUGUCCCUAUCUUUAUGUCCUAUGAACUGCAUGCGGUUUUCCAAAUACUCAAGGUUUCUGCAGCUGUAUGGAAUGGAGGAAGCUUUCUGCUAGAUGUAAUGCCAAGACAGGUGAUUCUCAAAGAGAAGAAGAAAUCAGAGAUG
rnacentral:misc_RNA from 1 species